CAAUAGCGUAUAUUAAAGUUGUUGCGGUUAAAAAGCUCGUAGUUGGAGUUCUGCCAGGUGCCGCCUGUCCGCCCCAGUGGUGAGUACGUGGCGCGCAUUUGGCCCUUUCAAGGGGAGCGUAUCUGCACUUUAUUGUGUGGUGCGGGAUCCUUGACUUUUACUUUGAGGAAAUAGGAGUGUUCCAAGCAGGCUCUCGUCGUGCACAGCUCAGCAUGGAACAAUAGCAUUGGACCUCGAUUCUAAGCUGUUGGUUGCCAGAAGCGAGGUAAUGAUGAAGAGGGAUAGUUGGGGGCAUUCGUAUUUAACUGUCGGAGGUGAAAUUCUUGGAUUUGUUAAAGACGGACUACUGCGAAAGCAUCUGCCAUGGAUGUUUUCAUUGA
rnacentral:rRNA from 1 species